UAUGUACGCUGUGCAUAAAUUAUUAUUAUUCUUAUACACAAAAGUCCAUUGGCUAUAUACACAUCUAUAUUUCUAUGAACGUGAGACAGGAGGUCUGAGCAACGAGAAGGCAAACGCAUCAAACACUUUCGCAUAAAAAAUAGACACGCACUUUGAGUUAUUAUUAUCAGAGUGGCAGGGAUAUCCAUGUGGUAAAGAACUGCACAGGGAGUGAAAAUAGAUCCAAUUUGGACACCCAUAAAAUACGAUCCUUCGGGAAUGAUCGCAACCUUAAGAAAUGAGGAAAUUGAUCGACCUCGGUGCAAAGCAGCUUUUAAUCCGAGGACCUGAAUCACAUUUUUCCACCUGCUAAAGUAUGGCUAUGCAGGGCCGUCGUCAUUCUCGCGGUACUAUCGGCCGUGGGUUCGUUUUCAGGAAGAAAAAUAUGUACGUGCAAUCAUUUGAUUCUCAUGAUUUCUGAUGAGAUGAAUUUGGUGAAAAACGAGUGGAAAAACCGUUUUGAAAAUUUUAAUGAAUGGAGAAAAUCCACAAAAAAUUCGGCGCUUCGAUAUUCCUUUUGGAGGUUGAAGUUGACGCCAUCGUCAGUCCUGAGGUCUGCCUCGGUGAGUAAAGAUCAAAUGGUCCACGAUGAUCGUUGACCAGUGUAGAAUUUGAUGGAUUCAACGGCCCAGAUCGCCGUUGUAUAUUUCGCAGGAUUUCUCGCGCAUGGUUUGCUUGUAUAUUUGUGUGUUUAUACGUGAGUAUAGACACACUCAUAAAUUGAUAUAUCGACGGAGAGAAAGAGAGAGUUCGGUGUUUGCGGACGCAAGCGCAUCGCGUAUACUGCAACUUCAGGGUGGCGUCACGCUCGAGACGCUUCCGGUGUUAAAUUACCCCGAAGAGUCUGCCCGCACCCUCUCCGUCCACCUUCUUCACUCGCUUUUGCCAACGGCCAUCACCAACAGCAACGCCAGAGUGUGUCUCCUCCAUUCCUUGCCAUUCUAAUUUUCUAUAUAGUUUGCGUGUAUUACAUAAUGUACUGUCUACCGCCCUGAGUAUAUUCUACUUAACCGUUCAUGAGAAUAUAUCAAGAGCCGCGGCAGCGGCUCGACGCAGCGUAUUAAAAAGGGCCAGCGUGAGCGCUGCUCUUCGAUUUUCCUUUUUUUUUUGUUGCUGCUUCGAAAUUUACGAUUCUUCGAAUUCACAUAGCAUCGGGAGUCGGUCAUGGAGUUACAAAAAUGAAAAAGCCAAUGGACGCAAUGAAGUUGGCUGAAAAUUUCAUUUCGCAACAUUUCUUUCAAAAAGUACAAAUGUUUUUGGCAUUUUUUCUACCACAAGUCAACGUAAUAACUUGAAAGUUUUAUCCGCACUUGGAUUCUUGAGUGAUUCUACGUACUAGACCUCAAUUCACUUGAACCCAAGGCACAAAAUGAAUUACAAAUACGUAUAGAAAGUCAGGCAAACGAUAGCCGAAGCGCUCACUCGAUUAAGGAUUUGACGAAGACUUUAUACGACAAUGUUUAUUAUGUAGAUAGCACAGGCGUGUUAUAACUAUUCCCAAGAGUCUGCAAACUCGUGAGGCGGGACUGACAUAUGCACACGCGGUAUAUAAAACAUCGUUAUAGGAUGAGGGGCACUCGAUAACGUAAUUCCCAUAGGCAUGUAUGACGGCACGAGCAACGGAUCCCCUCCAAUCGCUAGGGGAAAACCGCGACAAGUGCUCGAGAAGACCAAACAACCAACGUUGCGAAGCUUAUUUUAUAGCUAUUUAUUCUUAAUUCCUGAUUCAUUCGGAGCUCAUUGAAUUUUGUGCUUUUUUUCGUUGACUUCAAGCAUUGAUUACCAGUGAUAAUCGACACUUCAUAAUUUUCAAAAUUAUUCAGUCAAUAAUAAGGAGGCAUUCGAAUUGUAAAUUGUUUUUCAAGGUAGUUGGGUCGUAUCCAAGAUUACGCGAUGAUAUUUUUUGUAGGCAAAAAUGAAUACGUACUGGACAGAUUUGCAAAAUUUGGACGCUGGUUGCCACGUAGUUGAAUGAAUUAUUGAAUAUCGACUUUUCUCUGACAUUCGUCACUCCGGCACAUGAAAGUCGUACACACGUGAAAAGUUAUUGCAUUUUUUCAUUAGCUAUAUCCAAGAUUUCACAAAAAAAAUCGAUCGAUAUCCACGUCGUUUAUUUCGUGGAUAUCCAAGAAUACGUGCGUAUUAAGAGGAUGGACCAAUCGGUAUAUCGCAAUCGUAAGUGCGAGAGAGAUAGCUGCAAAUUUCGAAAUCGAAAUUCUUUGACACAGUUUGACCGAUUAAAAAAAGGUUCUGUCGGUCGAUUUUUGCCGUCGUCUUACGCAGACUGACAGAGCCUUUUUUUAAUCGGCCUAACUGCGUCAAAGAAUUUCAAUUUCGAAAAUUCCAAGUGAGGUUAGUCGACUGAUCCAUACUCUUAAAUAUUCAAUACGUAUGAAAUGACAAUGAGAAGUCAUUCAGAUUAUACACGACAAAUGGAUUGGCUAUAUUUUGUCAUUCUUUUGCCUCGCCACAUUUUUUUCUCGGUUUUUACAAAACGGCCAUUUUUAUUCUGGUCAACUUUUUUAUCGUUCAUUUUUUCAUUUUCCUCCACUGCAAUACUACUUUUGGACAGUAAACUCACCUCAUAACCUAUAAAAUUUGUAAACAAAAGUGACAGCGUAACAUAUUAACAGCAGCGGGAGUUGUUGCACUACGCUAGCCAAAACGAACUUUUCGAACGUUUUUUUUAAUAAAUAAAAUUGUAUAAGAAUGUUGGUUCUCUACAGAUUAUAUUUCUAAAGUAAUAAAAUUAUUAUUUUAAAGUAA